GGGGGCGUAUGGAUUCGACGGGGGUUAUGAGGCUUAGGCAGCAUGUCGUGUUUCCGCGGUCACGUAAAAAAGCGGAAAAACUUACAAAAGCCAACGACGAACUGGCACUUGCCGCUUAAAUAAGCGGCACGCAUUCCUGGGGAGGUCUGCUACCUUGGAUAUGCGUCAUAAAGCGGGCUGGCGGCUGAUGAGGUCCCUGCAUCAGGCGUGAGAUCAUAGGGAAUACGGGUACGGUGAGCCUGUCUAGAUCGG
rnacentral:tmRNA from 1 species